UACGGGGGGGGCAAGCGUUGUUCGGAAUUACUGGGCGUAAAGGGCUCGUAGGCGGCCAACUAAGUCAGACGUGAAAUCCCUCGGCUUAACCGGGGAACUGCGUCUGAUACUGGAUGGCUUGAGUUUGGGAGAGGGAUGCGGAAUUCCUGGUGUAGCGGUGGAAUGCGCAGAUAUCAGGAGGAACACCGAUGGCGAAGGCAGCUCGCUGGGACGGUACUGACGCUGAGGCGCGAAAGCGUGGGGAGCGAACAGG
rnacentral:rRNA from 1 species